CAGGUGGGCACUCCUGAGACUGCAGAGCGGAAGAGACCACCAACAUUGCCCACCCCUGCCCACAUCCCUGGCCAAAGGGGAAAUUGUAUAAGGCCUCUGGGUUCCCAUGGGGGAGGGUCCAGGAGCGGCUUGACCCCUGCACCUGAGACACCGCCAGAACCUGAAGGAACAGACCAGAUAAACAGUUCUCUGCACCCAAAUUCCGUGGGAGGGAGAGCUAAACCUUCAGAGAGGCAGACACGCCUGGGAAACCAGAAGAGACUGCACUCUGUACACAUUACUGAUUCCAGUGGAAAACACCAAACUCCAUCUGGAACCCUGGUGCACUGAAGCUCCCAGAAACGGCGGCUCAGAUCUUCCUGGUUGCUGCCACCACGGAGAGCUCAUGGGCAACACCCCAGGAGCAAACUUGAGCCUUGGGACCACAGGUAAGAACAACUUUUCUUCUGCAAGUGACCUGCCUGGUGAACUCAAGACACAGGCCCACAGGAACAGCUGAAGACCUGUAGAGAGGGAAAACUACACGCCGGAAAGCAGAACACUCUGUCGCCAUAACAGGCUGAAAGAAAACAGGAAAA
rnacentral:lncRNA from 1 species